UACAGAGGUCUCAAGCGUUGUUCGGAUUCAUUGGGCGUAAAGGGUGCGUAGGUGGCGGGGUAAGUCAGGUGUGAAAUCUCGGAGCUCAACUCCGAAACUGCACUUGAUACUGCGGUGCUCGAGUACUGGAGAGGAGAUUGGAAUUUACGGUGUAGCAGUGAAAUGCGUAGAUAUCGUAAGGAAGACCAGUGGCGAAGGCGAAUCUCUGGACAGUUACUGACACUGAGGCACGAAGGCCAGGGGAGCAAACGGG
rnacentral:rRNA from 1 species